rnacentral:rRNA from 1 species
UACGAGGGGGGCAAAUGUUGUUCGGAAUCACUGGGCGUAGAGGGAGCGUAGGCGGGUUUCUAAGUCAGGUGUUUAAUCCCGGGGCCCAACCCCGGACAGGCACUUGAAACUGGGAAUCUUGAAUAGGGGAGAGGUCAGUGGAAUUGGAGGUGUAGCGGUGGAAUGCGUAGAGAUCUCCAAGAACACCAGUUGCGAAGGCGGCUGACUGGACCCAUAUUGACGCUGAGGCUCGAAAGCAUGGGGAGCAAACAGG